GACGAACGCUGGCGGCGUGCUUAACAAAUGCAAGUCGAACGGAAAGGCCCUGCUUUUGUGGGGUGCUCGAGUGGCGAACGGGUGAGUAACACGUGAGUAACCUGCCCUUGACUUUGGGAUAACUUCAGGAAACUGGGGCUAAUACCGGAUAGGAGCUCCUGCUGCAUGGUGGGGGUUGGAAAGUUUCGGCGGUUGGGGAUGGACUCGCGGCUUAUCAGCUUGUUGGUGGGGUAGUGGCUUACCAAGGCUUUGACGGGUAGCCGGCCUGAGAGGGUGACCGGCCACAUUGGGACUGAGAUACGGCCCAGACUCCUACGGGAGGCAGCAGUGGGGAAUAUUGCGCAAUGGGCGGAAGCCUGAUGCAGCAACGCCGCGUGCGGGAUGACGGCCUUCGGGUUGUAAACCGCUUUCGCCUGUGACGAAGCGUGAGUGACGGUAAUGGGUAAAGAAGCACCGGCUAACUACGUG
rnacentral:rRNA from 1 species